CUGGCGUUGAAAUGAAACGUUAAGAUGGUCAAAGCGGGUGGAUGGAUGUCAGGUGAGCAGACCCUUGAACACAAAGCAUCCUGGGGGACCUCGCGUAGCUAUUGGAAAAGUCAGAGACCCGCCAAGAGCUGUGAAAUCAGCCGCGACAGAAAAGAAAAUAAAAGCGGAGAUGUUGGUGCCAUUUCACCAAGGGCGCGGGCACUUCCGCACGUGUGUCUGGGCUCCCAGAUCAUCCUACGCUUCCCAUCAUCCCGUUCUGCUCAUGGCUCCUCAAGGCCAAGGCAGAAAGAGAAGAGGAAGCAAAGUCACGGGAGAGCGAGAGCCUGGCACGUGUUCCGAGGCACAGGAAGA